GAUGAACGCUGGCGGCGUGCCUAAUACAUGCAAGUCGAGCGAACGGACGAGAAGCUUGCUUCUCUGAUGUUAGCGGCGGACGGGUGAGUAACACGUGGAUAACCUACCUAUAAGACUGGGAUAACUUCGGGAAACCGUAUCUAAUACCGGAUAAUAUUUUGAACCGCAUGGUUCAAAAGUGAAAGACGGUCUUGCUGUCACUUAUAGAUGGAUCCGCGCUGCAUUAGCUAGUUGGUAAGGUAACGGCUUACCAAGGCAACGAUGCAUAGCCGACCUGAGAGGGUGAUCGGCCAAACUGGAACUGAGACACGGUCCAGACUCCUACGGGAGGCAGCAGUAGGGAAUCUUCCGCAAUGGGCGAAAGCCUGACGGAGCAACGCCGCGUGAGUGAUGAAGGUCUUCGGAUCGUAAAACUCUGUUAUUAGGGAAGAACAUAUGUGUAAGUAACUGUGCACAUCUUGACGGUACCUAAUCAGAAAGCCACGGCUAACUACGUG
rnacentral:rRNA from 1 species